GAUGAACGCUGGCGGCGUGCCUAAUACAUGCAAGUCGAGCGAACAGAUGAGGAGCUUGCUCCUCUGACGUUAGCGGCGGACGGGUGAGUAACACGUGGAUAACCUACCUAUAAGACUGGGAUAACUUCGGGAAACCGGAGCUAAUACCGGAUAAUAUAUUGAACCGCAUGGUUCAAUAGUGAAAGACGGUUUUGCUGUCACUUAUAGAUGGAUCCGCGCCGCAUUAGCUAGUUGGUAAGGUAACGGCUUACCAAGGCAACGAUGCGUAGCGGACCUGAGAGGGUGAUCGGCCACACUGGAACUGAGACACGGUCCAGACUCCUACGGGAGGCAGCAGUAGGGAAUCUUCCGCAAUGGGCGAAAGCCUGACGGAGCAACGCCGCGUGAGUGAUGAAGGUCUUCGGAUCGUAAAACUCUGUUAUUAGGGAAGAACAAAUGUGUAAUUAACUAUGCACGUCUUGACGGUACCUAAUCAGAAAGCCACGGCUAACUACGUG
rnacentral:rRNA from 1 species